UGCUGGCUUGGAGGCUGAGACCAAUUCAUUCAGGCUGCUGCUAAAGAUGACACUGUUCUCAUUCACAGCCGAGCUCUCCGGAGGACGGAGGAGAGAAAGAUGCCGAGAGGCUGGAGACUGAGGAGGGGGUGGCCGAGCUUCGGCACUGGUGUUUGUUCCAAAGGGGAAAUUACAGGAAGAAAAAUAAACAGGGCCAGCCAGAUUUGAAGGCCAGUUCGCGCAGCAUCGGGGCGCUUAGAGGGACAGGGUGUGUGUGUGCGCGCGUGUGUUAGCGUGUGUACAUGCCUGUGGGCGCCACUGGGUUUGCCUUCUCAAAAUAAGGGCUGCUCAGUGGAAAGAUGUCAUAAGCCAGGCUGGGGCGGCCAGGGGAUGGGCCAGCCAGGGAGGGCCGAGGCUGGCGCCCAGGCCUGCUCAUGAGGUCAGGCAAAGGCCAGGUGUCAGAGUAAGGGAAUACUGCCAAGGCCUGCUAGCCAAGGGCAUGUCGGGACAGGAUUCUGAAGAACAAGGGAGAAAAGCCAGAGUCUCUGGAGGAGGGACACCGUGACAGGACCACCUGGGGUGUGUCGUCAGCCUGCCUCCCUGCCAUUCCUUCAGCCUGUGGAUUGGCUUCAUCUGACAGGCUCCUAAGGAGGAGCUGAACUUCAGAUGCCCAGCCUGCAAGCUUCUCUUUGUCCAGGUCUCAGAAGGACAAGCUGACUCUCUAAAUGUCCUCCAAAAAUCUCUUUUUAAAAAUGUGUUGUAUAUGUGUGUAUGUGUGCGUGUGAGCACAUGGAAGGCAGAAGCCAAUGCUGGCCUCUUCCUUGGUCUCGUUCACCCCAGUUUUGGAGUCAGCUGUCCCACUGAAAUGGGAGCUCACUGAUGCAGCUAGGCUGACCGGCCGGCAAGUCCCAGGGAUCUGCGUGUCUCUGCCUCCCCCCAGUGAUCCACCAUAGCUAUCCUUUUGUUACUGGUGGGUUUCUCCCCGUCGUGGGGUCUAAGGAUUUGAACUCAGGUCUUCACGUUUGUGCAGCGACCACUUUACCAGCUGAUCCACCGGCCCAGCUCCUGAAUGUCUCUGCAUUAGCAUUUUGAACUCAAGGGUUUUCAGUGCGCGGAUGGUCCCAUUUAUCGGGGAUGACCGCCUUCAGGUCCUCUGUCAUGGUCCUGCUGGGGUGUGAUCGUGAUCUCUUUCUUGCUUUCUAGUACAAGAUGUUCUGGGCUUAUCUUACUCACUGACCUGGAAACAGGCACUUCUCCAGGAAGUGUUGCUCCUUCCUGUGGGAGAGAAUACUUAAGAGACCGCAGUUAGGGCAGUCCAUGUUCUCAGAGACCGUAUGUGUUCUCGGCUUCUCAGUUUUCUCCAAGAAGAAUUUGCAUUCAGGGCAGGACCACCCAAAGGAUGUGGCGUUAUGCAACUAAGUGUGGCUCUCCCAGAUCUGAGGCUGUCAGUCCUGAGAAGUAAGCUUUGUCUGGCGGAGGCCACCUCUCCCCCUCCCAGAGACUAACCCUGGGCCCAGGGUUGGCCGCCAUGGGUGACUUCUUUUGGAUAAGUACUGAAAUGUGAGGGGCUCCGUCACUAAAAUUACACUUCUAAGCCAAAGUUCUUCCAACAGCAUGAUGAAAGUUAUUGCAACAGCAAGAUGAAAGUAUUUUUUAAUAUUACAUUUUUUAUUUUAAAAUAUUGAUUGUAUUAAUUUAUGUGUACGAGUGUCUUAUGCGCACGUAUAUAUGACAUCUCACUGGCCCAAGGUGUUUUAAAUGAAGUGUGCCAGGCAAACGUCUAAGCACACACAUUGGCAAACAGAAAGCCCUAGGAAAUGGUACAGAUCCAAACUGUUGCCUGUCUGGAGACUCCUUGUGUGCCCAUGGAGUUUCCGGAAGUUCUCCUCGAUAUCCUGUCUGUGUGAUGAUGAUAGCCUUGAUAUCCACUUUGCUAUAAAACAGAGUCAGGGUGAUAUGUGGUAAUAAUGCCUGCAAUUCCAGUGUGGCUCAGGCUGGAGGGCUGUGAGUUCCAGGCCAGCCUAGGCGACAUAAAACGUAAAAGAAAGAAGAGGAGGACCAGGUGGAGAUGAAGAUGAGGAAGACAACACAGUGAAGA